rnacentral:rRNA from 1 species
GACGAACGCUGGCGGCGUGCCUAAUACAUGCAAGUUGAGCGCUGAAGGCUGGUACUUGUACCAACUGGAUGAGCAGCGAACGGGUGAGUAACUCGUGGGGAAUCUGACUCUGAGCGGGGGACAACAUUUGGAAACGAAUGCUAAUACCGCAUAAAAACUUUAAACACAAGUUUUAAGUUUGAAAGAUGCAAUUGCAUCACUCAAAGACGAUCCCGCGUUGUAUUAGCUAGUUGGUGAGGUAAAGGCUCACCAAGGCGAUGAUACAUAGCCGACCUGAGAGGGUGAGCGGCGACGUUGGGACUGAGGCACGGCCCAAACUCCUACGAGAGGCAGCAGUAGGGAAUCUUCGGCAAUGGACGAAAGUCUGACCGAGCAACGCCGCGUGAGUGAAGAAGGUAUUCGGAUCGUAAAACUCUGUUGGUAGAGAAGAAUGUUGGUGUGAGUGGAAAGCUCAUCAAGUGACGGUAACUACCCAGAAAGGGACGGCUAACUACGUG